GGGCGGGGCGAGGCGGGGCGGAGCUGGGGAGCCGAGUCAGCCCGAGUGGCACUCUUAAGACCUCUGGCAUCAAGAUGGUCAUGACCUGAGCACCCAGGAAGGAAGACAGCUGGAGCCAGGUGGGGAGAUAAACAGGGUUCUGGAAAGGCCUCCCGACUACAGUAAGGGAUCAGACUCAGAUUCGUCCAGUGGUCCAACACAGGCUCAGUCUGGCUAUCUGGGCAUCUAGAAUUUUCCCCGAUGAAAUCUGCAAGAAACUGCAGGGGGAAAGUUUGAAACUGCAGAGACCCCAGAGAUGGCGGAGGAAGGAGCUGGCUGGUGGCCACUGUGAAUUGUAAUUUGAAAGGAAUCAACCAGAA
rnacentral:lncRNA from 1 species